GAUGAACGCUAGCGGCAGGCUUAAUACAUGCAAGUCGUGGGGCAGCGCAGUGUAGCAAUACAUGGGCGGCGACCGGCAAACGGGUGCGUAACACGUACGCAACCUUCCCGUUACUGGGGAAUAGCCCAGGGAAACUUGGAUUAAUACCCCAUAUUAUAUUGAUUGGGCAUCUAAUUAAUAUCAAAGCUUCGGCGGUAACGGAUGGGCGUGCGGUUGAUUAGGUAGUUGGCGGGGUAACGGCCCACCAAGCCUACGAUCAAUAGCUGAUGUGAGAGCAUGAUCAGCCACACGGGCACUGAGACACGGGCCCGACUCCUACGGGAGGCAGCAGUAAGGAAUAUUGGGCAAUGGACGAAAGUCUGACCCAGCCAUGCCGCGUGGAGGAUGAAGGUCCUCUGGAUUGUAAACUUCUUUUUUCUGGGGCGAAAACCGGUUUUUCUAAACCAUUUGACAGUACCAGAAGAAUAAGCACCGGCUAACUCCGUGCCAGCCGCCGCCGUAAUAC
rnacentral:rRNA from 1 species